rnacentral:lncRNA from 1 species
AGCAGAGAAAUAGAAAGACCAGAGAGAAACAUAGAACGUAGCUAAAGAAUUAGAGAAAGAAAAGCAACCACUCGUAUAUAAUUUAGUCACUGUUCAACAGACGUAGCUAGUUGUCAGCUAAUAGAGUUCUUCGCCUUCCUGAUUGCCAGCAGACGACCAGUUAUUCACCGGCUCGUUGUAGAGAAGCUUCUGCAUAUCCAAUACCAAUCCUGAGAUUUCUUCACUGAAUCUAGGAGAAAACCUUAUUGAACGGUUCAGAUACUUUUCUCCCUCAAGGAUCUCGAGAAUGGACCUUUGUAAUGAUCAGAAAGCUUGCCUGAUCUAAGAUCAACAUUAGAAUUCUGCAUCACACGCUCUCACUAUCUACUGAAAGACUAUGAACCUCUUUCCGCUUUUGCCUAGAUUUCAGCGAGAAACAGAGUAUCGAGGUGCAUCUUUGGUUAGAACUCUAAAGGACUCAUUAAAAUCAACAGGAGCAGGUUGAUACUAACCAUAAGGCCUCAGAGAUCCUCUCUUCUGCUGCGUCUAACUACUUUCUCUCUUGGCAUAGGAGUCUUAAUUGAAAGCCCUCUAGCUCAUCAUAGCAUCGCUUGCAGCUGUAGGAGAAUUUUUUUUAAAAAUGCUAUCAGUCAUAGAUGAGGUCAACGCCCAUUCUCUUCGCUAAUUGCAAUUUCCAUUAACUGCAACAAACACAUACAAAGAACACCCAGUAACGAAUCGAGAGAAACACUGAAGAAGAAACUGCAAGUAAAACUUAAAUUAAUCACAUUUGGAUGAAAAUCCACGACACAGCUCAGACUAAGUAAGUAAUGAUAGCCAUAUCGAGAAUAUUUGGAUUUGGGUCUUGAAUCUGUUUUUUCCUUGUAUCUUCUCCUCGUCGAUGGGCUCUUGUCCCUUGCUAGUGGAAUAUCUACCCAACUUUUAUUUCGAGUCAAGAAAAUAUUUAUUUACCAAGCAACCCCUCAGCGAAAACUUGCAAAUAAAACCUUUCUCAACACACUAACACAUGAAAGAAAAGAAAAAAACAAAAACUCCAAAAAAAGGCGAUAUGAAACAGUAAAACCUGAGUAAUCGAUAGAUCCGAUCCAGAAGCUAACCUAGAGCUCGGGGAACAGUAAACCUAAGCCUAGAAGAAGACCACGGAGGAAGAAGGGUCUUCUCGGAGGUCAAAGAUCAAUGGUGGAUUGAAGAUUUAGAUGAUGACAGAGUUUAGAGGAAGAAGAUGAUUUUGAUAUUCUGAUUGAUUCUCAUAUUUGGCCAAAGAGCCUUACAUAUAGUGAUUAAAGUUUUAUGAACCGGAAUUACAAACCGUAAUUAAUAUAACUACUAAACCAAGAUAAACCAGAGGAUAUGGAAUAAUCCUGUAACAAUACUCCCUCGUCGACAACAUCCUUGUCCUCAAGGAUGACAAGUUGGAAGCUCCUUGAUGAUUUUGAUGGAACGUCAAUGCAACUUGGUCUGGAGGAUGCACUUUCCAAUGGACAAAGACCGUGAUGAAUGCUUUGUUGUGGUGGUUAACCUUCUUCUUGGCACUGUUUUCAACAAACGGGGAUUGUAGCAGAAGUAUAGCAGUAGUGGUGGAGGUCGGAUAGAAGAAAUAGCAUUUCUCAGUUGUUACCUCUAGCUUCGGGACUAAUCCACUAAGCCACUCAAAACCAUGCUUGAUCCUCAUAAUGUAAAGCAUAGCAACACAGAGCAUAUAACUGAAAAUGUGUGCAUUAUCCAACGUCAUUUUACCAGAGAUCAAUAAGUCCUCAAAAUUGUCGGCUUCUGUCUUGAAAUGAAGGUAUAAUUGCAGAACCGUAACAGAGAUUAUAGAGGCAGGAAAGCCAUCGAUAGAAUGAGCAAUGUAGAGUGUUCCAGAAUGUGUAUGACCAGAUUCACAAUCACAAUUUAUGGCUCGGUUCCAUAUAUCAAUCAACCAAGUGAAGUAGUCCAGACCUGAAGAACUUGGGGGUUCAGUACUAAACUGCUUCAAAUCGUUGUAGUGUGUCCAAAAUUCAGGAUGCAGCAGCUUGUGGUUCUUGAGGAAUAAGAGCUUGGGGUCCUUCUCGAGCUUACCCAACCUCUGAAAGCUCUUCUUUAUUGUCUUGAAAUCUGGAGGUCGUGGCAGUGAACCAUAGAGUAACUUAAGUGAUGUGCUGUAGAAACCAACAGCUUUAAGCCUCAUGAAAUCGCCAUCUCCAUAGUCACUGACCAGAUAAGAGAGCUGGUGUGUGUUUUCAUCUAGACUCACGAACUCUUCUUCACCUCUACGGUCAACUUGAUUAAUCUCAAGUUCACAAAUAUAUCCAUCAGCUGUACCAACCUCACGUUCUUUUGUUACCAAAACUAAUAUGACCUUACCAUCCUUUAAGAAAUCGUUCUUUCUCUUCUUAGCAUCAGCUUCAACGCUCUUCAAAACAGUGGCGUGUAAGCCAUCAAAUAGAUGAAAUGUAGGAAUUAACCAGCAACAUUCCAGCAACACCACCAUUUUAAACUUAGAUCUCCAUUUGUGCUUCAAAUGGAACUUCAUACGAGCAAAAGUAAGCUGUCUCAAGCCUACAACUAGCAGUGUUCUGUUUCUUAGCAAAUCAGGCACGUUAAAAACUUCAUCAUGACCAGCGUGACCCUUAGCUUCAGAUAUAAGCCCAACAAGUAUUCUCAAUACACCAUUCCUUCUGCGAGACUGAAACUCGAACGGUUCCAGUAACACACGUUCUGAUCCCUUUUUAUUUCCGGCUUCAAUGUUCAUCAGCGCAUGCUUUCCUUUAUCAUAAACCAACCGUGACUGCAUCUUUUCACUUGCAACUAAAGGCUCCUCACCAGGUGUUUUUCCUCCAACGAUAUCAACAUACAUCGAUUCCAGCGGUAAAUAAGCUUUGUAGUACGAGUAUAUUGAGCCAAACUUCUCCAAUAAGACUUUGUUAUUCUCGCCUAUUCCAUCUAGAAGCAACUGGUUAUCUUCGUCCAAAGGCAGAGAUAUGACCUUUGAGGAAGUUACAAGAAUUACAACUCCAUGUUUCAACAAAAGAGUGGUUCCAUCUGUCGAUUUAUGUGCCUCUGAGUUGCCUUUGAACUUGUAUUUCCAAGUCUUUGACCACUUCUGCUUCCUCUUUCUAGUUCUCAGCAAAACUUUAAGCAUCUGAUCUGCGCAAUCCAACUUUGUAACAACAGAAAACUUCUGAGGCAUCUCAACCUCUCUUGGAACAUAACCAAUUUGUUCCACCACAGCACUCACGUAAUCGACAACCUCUUGGGUUUCUAUGUCCAUAAUCGAUGAUUCUGGAGUUAACUCAGUCACUUUACCAUAGCCCCACAAUAUACUAGACAGCCUGUGCAUUAACCUCAUCGAUUUACCAUCUUUGUAACAUUUUUCUAACCCUUUCCACUUAUCAUGUUCAGUCGCUAUUCCACCAGGUUCCCACAUUCUAUUAUUCCAAGAUGAAACGAGUUUCAUCACCUUGUUUUGCUCAUGUUCAUCCUCUUUUUCGUCUUCUUCAUAAAGAGGCUUGAGCUCCUCUAGAUCCCAAUUCACCACUUGCAUCUGAGGAUAUAGAGACGUUUCAAACUGAUGUGAUUCUUGGUGUGACUUCGAUUCUUUCUCUGGCCAGUCCCAAAAAUCCAGAGUAGCCGGUAAACCACCUGGCUCCCAUACAUGACCAGUCUUAUGUGAGAACAAGAGCUUAUCAUUUGAUGAACUGAUCAGCAUUGUUGAAUCCUCCUGAUACUUCUCUGAUAAGGAGAGAUCAACGUGAGAUCUAAAUUUGGCAGAAAUCGCUUGAGAGUGCUUGCCCUCCAAGUGUUCGGCGUUUUGCCCGAGAGGUGGAUUCCUCUUUUCUUCAGCUACAGUUUUUGGAUGAUCGUCUUCCCGAUUCAACUCAACAGAAUCCUGCAAAACUGGGACAAACCCCAACGAUUUCAUAGAUGAAUCUGUCUCAACAUGUGGUUCGACGAACUCAUUAUCAGCAGAAAGUUGAUCAUCUUCACAGUCUACCAUGAAAAUCUUUGAUUUUCUGUGCUUUGACUGAAAGUGACCACGGGUAUCAAGCUCAUCACAAAACAAACACAACCCAUUUUCCAUUCUCGCAUACACCUGCUCACAUGAAUACGUCCGAUGAGUCUUGUUCGUGGUGAUCGUGCCCGCCAUUGUUUGUUUUUUUUUUUUUUUUUUUUAUUAGUUGCGUCCGAAGCUCGUUGGCUCUGAUACCAAUGAAACAGUAAAACCUGAGUAACCGAUAGAUCCGAUCCAGAAGCUCACCUAGAGCUCGGGGAACGGUAAACCUAAGCCUAGAAGAAGACCACGGAGGAAGAAGGGUCUUCUCGGAGGUCAAAGAUCAAUGGUGGAUUGAAGAUUUAGAUGAUGACAGAGUUUAGAGGAAGAAGAUGAUUUUGAUAUUCUGAUUGAUUCUCAUAUUUGGCCAAAGAGCCUUACAUAUAGUGAUUAAAGUUUUAUGAAC